rnacentral:rRNA from 1 species
GAGUUUGAUCCUGGCUCAGAUUGAACGCUGGCGGCAUGCCUUACACAUGCAAGUCGAACGGCAGCACGGGAGCAAUCCUGGUGGCGAGUGGCGAACGGGUGAGUAAUAUAUCGGAACGUGCCCAGUCGUGGGGGAUAACGCAGCGAAAGCUGUGCUAAUACCGCAUACGAUCUCUGGAUGAAAGCGGGGGACCUGAAAGGGCCUCGCGCGAUUGGAGCGGCCGAUAUCAGAUUAGCUAGUUGGUGGGGUAAAAGCUCACCAAGGCGACGAUCUGUAGCUGGUCUGAGAGGACGACCAGCCACACUGGAACUGAGACAC